GCCAAUUUGUCGGGGAUGUAACAAUAUUCUUCACCCUCUUCUUCCGCUUGGUAGAUAGGGGAGUCAAAGUUAUGAGAGGGAGUAAAGUCAUUGGAUUCAACGGGGUUAUCAUUUAUUCUGCAUGUUUGAAUGAUUAAUUUCUUUUAGAAAAGUAAAUAUAAAAGAUGCAUAAAGGAAAAGUUUUUUUUGUCUUUUUUGUUUUUGAAAAGAUUGCCAUUUUCUUAAGAGAAAGCAAAAUAAAUGAAUAAGAAGAAUUUAAACAAAA
rnacentral:lncRNA from 1 species